rnacentral:rRNA from 1 species
CCUACGGGGGGCAGCAGUGGGGAAUAUUGGACAAUGGGGGGAACCCUGAUCCAGCCAUGCCGCGUGUGUGAAGAAGGCCCUCGGGUUGUAAAGCACUUUCAGUGAGGAAGAACGCCUGGUGGUUAAUACCCAUCAGGAAAGACAUCACUCACAGAAGAAGCACCGGCUAACUCCGUGCCAGCAGCCGCGGUAAUACGGGAGGGUGCGAGCGUUAAUCGGAAUUACUGGGCGUAAAGCGCGCGUAGGUGGCUUGAUAAGCCGGUUGUGAAAGCCCCGGGCUCAACCUGGGAACGGCAUCCGGAACUGUCAAGCUAGAGUGCAGGAGAGGAAGGUAGAAUUCCCGGUGUAGCGGUGAAAUGCGUAGAGAUCGGGAGGAAUACCAGUGGCGAAGGCGGCCUUCUGGACUGACACUGACACUGAGGUGCGAAAGCGUGGGUAGCAAACAGGAUUAGAUACCCUGGUAGUC